rnacentral:rRNA from 1 species
GAGGAAAAGAAAUCAACCGAGAUUCCCCCAGUAGCGGCGAGCGAACGGGGAGCAGCCCAGAGCCUGAAUCAGUGUGUGUGUUAGUGGAAGCGUCUGGAAAGGCGUGCGAUACAGGGUGACAGCCCCGUACACAAAAAUGCACAUACUGUGAGCUCGAUGAGUAGGGCGGGACACGUGGUAUCCUGUCUGAAUAUGGGGGGACCAUCCUCCAAGGCUAAAUACUCCUGACUGACCGAUAGUGAACCAGUACCGUGAGGGAAAGGCGAAAAGAACCCCGGCGAGGGGAGUGAAAAAGAACCUGAAACCGUGUACGUACAAGCAGUGGGAGCACGCUUAGGCGUGUGACUGCGUACCUUUUGUAUAAUGGGUCAGCGACUUAUAUUCUGUAGCAAGGUUAACCGAAUAGGGGAGCCGAAGGGAAACCGAGUCUUAACUGGGCGUUAAGUUGCAGGGUAUAGACCCGAAACCCGGUGAUCUAGCCAUGGGCAGGUUGAAGGUUGGGUAACACUAACUGGAGGACCGAACCGACUAAUGUUGAAAAAUUAGCGGAUGACUUGUGGCUGGGGGUGAAAGGCCAAUCAAACCGGGAGAUAGCUGGUUCUCCCCGAAAGCUAUUUAGGUAGCGCCUCGUGAAUUCAUCUCCGGGGGUAGAGCACUGUUUCGGCAAGGGGGUCAUCCCGACUUACCAACCCGAUGCAAACUGCGAAUACCGGAGAAUGUUAUCACGGGAGACACACGGCGGGUGCUAACGUCCGUCGUGAAGAGGGAAACAACCCAGACCGCCAGCUAAGGUCCCAAAGUCAUGGUUAAGUGGGAAACGAUGUGGGAAGGCCCAGACAGCCAGGAUGUUGGCUUAGAAGCAGCCAUCAUUUAAAGAAAGCGUAAUAGCUCACUGGUCGAGUCGGCCUGCGCGGAAGAUGUAACGGGGCUAAACCAUGCACCGAAGCUGCGGCAGCGACGCUUAUGCGUUGUUGGGUAGGGGAGCGUUCUGUAAGCCUGUGAAGGUGUGCUGUGAGGUAUGCUGGAGGUAUCAGAAGUGCGAAUGCUGACAUAAGUAACGAUAAAGCGGGUGAAAAGCCCGCUCGCCGGAAGACCAAGGGUUCCUGUCCAACGUUAAUCGGGGCAGGGUGAGUCGACCCCUAAGGCGAGGCCGAAAGGCGUAGUCGAUGGGAAACAGGUUAAUAUUCCUGUACUUGGUGUUACUGCGAAGGGGGGACGGAGAAGGCUAUGUUGGCCGGGCGACGGUUGUCCCGGUUUAAGCGUGUAGGCUGGUUUUCCAGGCAAAUCCGGAAAAUCAAGGCCGAGGCGUGAUGACGAGGCACUACGGUGCUGAAGCAACAAAUGCCCUGCUUCCAGGAAAAGCCUCUAAGCAUCAGGUAACAUCAAAUCGUACCCCAAACCGACACAGGUGGUCAGGUAGAGAAUACCAAGGCGCUUGAGAGAACUCGGGUGAAGGAACUAGGCAAAAUGGUGCCGUAACUUCGGGAGAAGGCACGCUGAUACGUAGGUGAAGCGACUUGCUCGUGGAGCUGAAAUCAGUCGAAGAUACCAGCUGGCUGCAACUGUUUAUUAAAAACACAGCACUGUGCAAACACGAAAGUGGACGUAUACGGUGUGACGCCUGCCCGGUGCCGGAAGGUUAAUUGAUGGGGUUAGCGCAAGCGAAGCUCUUGAUCGAAGCCCCGGUAAACGGCGGCCGUAACUAUAACGGUCCUAAGGUAGCGAAAUUCCUUGUCGGGUAAGUUCCGACCUGCACGAAUGGCGUAAUGAUGGCCAGGCUGUCUCCACCCGAGACUCAGUGAAAUUGAACUCGCUGUGAAGAUGCAGUGUACCCGCGGCAAGACGGAAAGACCCCGUGAACCUUUACUAUAGCUUGACACUGAACAUUGAGCCUUGAUGUGUAGGAUAGGUGGGAGGCUUUGAAGUGUGGACGCCAGUCUGCAUGGAGCCGACCUUGAAAUACCACCCUUUAAUGUUUGAUGUUCUAACGUGGACCCGUGAUCCGGGUUGCGGACAGUGUCUGGUGGGUAGUUUGACUGGGGCGGUCUCCUCCUAAAGAGUAACGGAGGAGCACGAAGGUUGGCUAAUCCUGGUCGGACAUCAGGAGGUUAGUGCAAUGGCAUAAGCCAGCUUGACUGCGAGCGUGACGGCGCGAGCAGGUGCGAAAGCAGGUCAUAGUGAUCCGGUGGUUCUGAAUGGAAGGGCCAUCGCUCAACGGAUAAAAGGUACUCCGGGGAUAACAGGCUGAUACCGCCCAAGAGUUCAUAUCGACGGCGGUGUUUGGCACCUCGAUGUCGGCUCAUCACAUCCUGGGGCUGAAGUAGGUCCCAAGGGUAUGGCUGUUCGCCAUUUAAAGUGGUACGCGAGCUGGGUUUAGAACGUCGUGAGACAGUUCGGUCCCUAUCUGCCGUGGGCGCUGGAGAACUGAGGGGGGCUGCUCCUAGUACGAGAGGACCGGAGUGGACGCAUCACUGGUGUUCGGGUUGUCAUGCCAAUGGCACUGCCCGGUAGCUAAAUGCGGAAGAGAUAAGUGCUGAAAGCAUCUAAGCACGAAACUUGCCCCGAGAUGAGUUCUCCCUGACCCUUUAAGGGUCCUGAAGGAACGUUGAAGACGACGACGUUGAUAGGCCGGGUGUGUAAGCGCAGCGAUGCGUUGAGCUAACCGGUACUAAUGAACCGUGAGGCUUAACCUUACAACGCCGAAG